GCUCCGAUGGCCGAAUGGAUAAGGCAACAGCCUUCUAAGCUGUAGAUUCUAGGUUCAAGUCCUAGUCGGAGCGCCA
rnacentral:tRNA from 1 species